GUGAAAGAGAAGAUCAUCCACAGACACCAAGAAGAUGAUUUUCCACAUGCGCAAAGCGGCUGUGCCCACAUCCCAUCCACAUGAGAGCUGGAGGAAGACAAGCCACGGCUUACACGGGCCAUUUUCCAGCUUAUGGAUUCCGGCAUCAUAUGUUGAAGAAUAUGGGAUAUUUUGAUUUCUAAGAACCUGCUCUGUUCAGCGCUGAGCUUCUGCUGGC
rnacentral:lncRNA from 1 species